rnacentral:rRNA from 1 species
GUCUACGGCCAUACCACUCUGAACGCACCUGAUCUUGUCAGAUCUCAGAAGCUAAGCGGGGUUGGGCCUGGUUAGUACUUGGAUGGGAGAAAGCUCACUGGAUACG